UCCGACGAAACAUACGGUUAUUCCGCCGCUGCUCGGCUUCGCUCCUCCGUGCCCGAGAAAGAAAUGGUGGAGCGGAGGAGGAGGCCUCUCCUCCUUUCUUCCACCAAAUCCCUUGUCGAUUCCGUGCUCGCCUCCUCGUCCCGCCUCGAGGCGGCCGAGCUCCCGCCGGAGCUGAGGCUGCCCGCCGGAAUCCUCCGGCUCGCGGGGGAGAGGGCCCAGGAGACGGACCCGAGGCUGGCGAAGCUGGACGACGCGGCCUUGGUCGGGCUCCCGACGUCCGCUCUGAAGCGACUGUCCAUCGCUUCUGGCUCGCUGGUGCAUAUAAGGAAUCUCGACACGAACUCUGCGAGAAUGGCUCAAGUAGUUGUUCUUGAUCCUCCGUCCGCACCCGAGCACUCACAUCAAGUUAAGCUUCCCUUUUCCCAGUGCGAGAAGGAAUUGUUGAUCUUCCCGUCGUGUAGCUUCCCUCCAACUAAGCCAGCUUUGCCAGACCGCGAAGUAGCCUACUUGUCUCCUUUCUUAGCAUUUAACCUCGGUUUGCACCUAUCAUGCUUCAGAACUCUAGUUCACCACGGAGGAGACACUUUAACAUCAUUCUUCGGAGCUAGGGUUGAUAAUGGAAUGUCGGAACAGGGUGGUGAAGUUCCGGUAAUUGACGUGGAGCUUCAACCUCCGGGACAAUUACCAAACUACGCGUCACACUUGCGGGUUUCUUUUGUGAAGAUACCAGAAUGUGGCACCAUUGAAUCUCUUAAAGGAAGUUCAUCAAUUGAAGCUGAAGCUCGCCAAGAAAUGAUUGAUCUCGCAUUACAGAACUACUUUGAAAUAGAUAGACAUCUAGCGAUAGGUGAUGUUUUCAGUAUUAAGAUUAAAUGGACUUGCAACUCAUUUAUUUGCAUUCGCUGCAGCCAAAAGUUGCCAAAUGAUGAUGUCAUCUACUUCAAGGUGGUGGCUAUGGAACCAUCAGACCACCCUGUUCUUCGAGUCAACCGCACUAAAACUGCCCUUGUUCUUGGAGGGAAUGUCCCAUCUGGCGUUCCUCCAGAUUUACUUUGUGACCGCCCAAAAACAUUUGCACCCUUGCAAGGAGAUACCGUGAAGAUUUUGGCCUCCGUGCUCACACCAUCUCUGUGUUCAUCAGCGCUUGCUGUUAAAUUUAGAGUGGCUGUGUUGUUGUCUGGUUUGACAGGAUGUGGGAAGAGAACAAUAGUUAGGUUUGUUGCUCGCCGAUUGGGUCUGCAUGUAGUGGAGUUCAGCUGUAACAGUCUAAUGUCUUCCUCUGAGAGAAAAACAUCCAUUGCCCUAGCUGAAGCAUUUAAUACUGCACAAAGAUAUUCACCGUCAAUACUUCUCCUCCGCCACUUUGAUGCUUUUCGGAAUUUGGGAUCUAAUGAAGGUUUACCAAAUGAUCAAAAUGGCAUCUCUUCUGAACUUGCAUCAGUCAUAAGGGAAUUCACUACCCAAGAUAAUGAAGAUGAGGAUGUUUAUGCCUCAGAAAACUUGAAUGGUGAUUUGCAGUCUGCAAAUACUUAUGCACAUAAGGUGUUCUUAGUUGCAACUGCUGAUAGCACUGAAGGCCUACCUCCUACCAUUAGACGUUGCUUCAGUCAUGAGAUAACUAUGGGUCCUUUAACUGAGGAACAAAGGGUCGAGAUGCUUAGCCAGUCACUGAAGGGCAUUUCUGAGCUGCUGCCUAAUAGUAGUCCAGAAGAUUUUGUAAGAGAUAUAGUCGGACAGACAUCUGGCUUUAUUCCCAGGGACCUGAACGCUUUAAUUGCUGAUGCUGGCGCAAACAUGAUACCAGGGAGCAUUUUGCAUAAAAAUGAAGUUGAUUCUGGGGAUUUUCAUAACAAAUCUGCAGAAGACAAAACUGUGCCGGAAAAUGAUGUAAAAGAGGCUGUAGAUCAGGUUCUCAGGAAAGAUGAUAUGGCUAAAGCCUUGGAACGGUCAAAGAAGAGGAAUGCAGUGGCUUUGGGCACUCCUAAAGUUCCUAAUGUGAAGUGGGAAGAUGUCGGAGGUCUUGAGGACGUAAAAAAAUCAAUUUUGGAUACUGUUCAGUUGCCUUUACUCCACAAGGAUUUGUUUUCUUCGGGAUUGCGCAAGCGAUCUGGUGUUCUUCUAUAUGGUCCUCCUGGAACCGGAAAAACCUUGUUAGCAAAGGCUGUGGCAACAGAGUGUUCCCUGAACUUCCUUAGUGUAAAAGGACCUGAGCUUAUUAAUAUGUACAUUGGAGAGUCAGAGAAAAAUGUCCGAGAUAUUUUCCAGAAGGCAAGAUCUGCUCGUCCUUGUGUUAUCUUCUUUGAUGAACUUGAUUCUCUGGCUCCAGCUCGUGGUGCUUCUGGAGAUUCUGGUGGCGUAAUGGAUAGAGUUGUUUCUCAGAUGCUUGCGGAAAUCGACGGAUUAAAUGAUGACACGCAGGAUUUGUUUAUAAUUGGGGCUAGCAACAGACCAGAUCUUAUUGAUCCAGCACUUCUAAGGCCAGGUCGAUUUGACAAAUUACUCUAUGUUGGGGUCAACACUGAUGCAUCUUAUCGUGAACGGGUCCUGAAAGCACUCACAAGGAAGUUUAAAUUGCAUGAAGAUGUAUCUCUAUACUCCAUAGCAAAGAAAUGUCCACCAAAUUUUACUGGUGCAGACAUGUAUGCCCUGUGUGCAGAUGCUUGGUUUCAUGCUGCAAAGAGCAAGGUUUUGAGUUCAGACGUAGAUUCUUCUUCCAAGGACCUUGCAGCCGACUCUGUUGUGGUUGGAUAUGAAGAUUUUGUAGAGGGGUUUGUCUACAAUAAAAAAAUUCCACUGUUCUACAGGGCUUAAUUCAGGGACUCACAUAAAAAGAAUAAGAUGAAGGGGGUUCGAAGCCAUAAAAAAUAUGGUGCCUGAUGCCCCUCAAAUUUGGCUUGAAGAAGACAAAAAUGGGGAUUUAGUGAUGAAAAAUGAAAUAGAAACUUUGAUUGACCAACUCUUUAGGAAUGAUAACAGGAAGUCCCUUUCAAAGUAAAUGAUUUAUUUGACUGCUCUGAAAGAUUUUAACGGCUACAGGACUGAGCAGCUCAACUUAAGCUGGUAUCCACGAAAAAACAAACUUAAGCUUAUAUUGAACAUGCAAAAUGUUCAGAAACAUAUUCUGAGAUUAAAGAGGAAACAUAAGCUGUUAUGGUUUUCUAUUAUUUCAAUGCGUAAUGUUCGCUAACGUUGAAUCUCGAUACCUUGGCAAAAGAGAAUGUAGCAGGCUCCUUUUCAGCUGCAAAAGGAGAAGAGGGUUUUCUCAGACAAAAGAGAAAGGGAGGACCUAGGAUUAUGAAUUCUAGGGUACUGCAACAACCUCUGAAUGUGACAUCAGUCAGAGAAAUUUGGUGGCUCCAUAAAAUAACUCUGACACGGGGUGUCCAAGUAAAUUUUCCCAACAUAGGGUUAUCCCUGCAAUUUUGUCCGAGACAGGAGGAGUGUACCGUGUUCUACCCUAGGUCUUGAGAUCUUUGGCCAACUGUACUCCAGGAGUAGUUGUCUUGUUUGCACCCAUUUGAUUAUAUCUGAUGUGGCAAAGUUAUCCAUAGUUUCAUUAGGUAAAAAAUCUAUCUAUCAAUUAAUCCUAUAUAAACUAAAGAAAUCUGAACAUGAAUGACUUUAGCUUGGAAGCCAAUAAUUGUGAUGGUAUGACAUUCCCUUGAAAAAGUAAGACCAAAGUUCAAUGAAUUGAAGUUUUCUUUUUUUGGGAUCAUGUCGAAAGAGAAUAAUUUGCCACUUCCACAGUAAUGGCGAUGCUUCCCAAGACCCUGGUUUAAGCCCUUCCAUUGAAAAAUUUCGCUUUUAUCAACAUGAUCUUGAGUAUUUGGUAGUUUAAUAUUAUGAAAUUCACUAUUCACUAGUCAUUGAUAUGCAUGGCAGGUGGUGCCUCUUCCUGAACAGAAAUUUCAAGUCUUGGGAGAACUCUCCCCUUCCCUCUCCAUGGCCGAGCUUAAGAAGUACGAGUUGCUGAGGGAUCAGUUUGAA